rnacentral:rRNA from 1 species
UUACCGAGUUUACAACUCCCAAACCCCUGUGAACAUACCAAUUGUUGCCUCGGCGGAUCAGCCCGCUCCCGGUAAAACGGGACGGCCCGCCAGAGGACCCCUAAACUCUGUUUCUAUAUGUAACUUCUGAGUAAAACCAUAAAUAAAUCAAAACUUUCAACAACGGAUCUCUUGGUUCUGGCAUCGAUGAAGAACGCAGCAAAAUGCGAUAAGUAAUGUGAAUUGCAGAAUUCAGUGAAUCAUCGAAUCUUUGAACGCACAUUGCGCCCGCCAGUAUUCUGGCGGGCAUGCCUGUUCGAGCGUCAUUUCAACCCUCAAGCCCUCGGGUUUGGUGUUGGGGAUCGGCGAGCCCUUGCGGCAAGCCGGCCCCGAAAUCUAGUGGCGGUCUCGCUGCAGCUUCCAUUGCGUAGUAGUAAAACCCUCGCAACUGGUACGCGGCGCGGCCAAGCCGUUAAACCCCCAACUUCUGAAUGUUGACCUCGGAUCAGGUAGGAAUACCCGCUGAACUUAAGCAUAUCAA